AGCGAACGCUGGCGGCAGGCCUAACACAUGCAAGUCGAGCGCCCAGCAAUGGGAGCGGCAGACGGGUGAGUAACGCGUGGGGAUGUGCCCAAUGGUGCGGAAUAACCCAGGGAAACUUGGAUUAAUACCGCAUGUGCCCUUCGGGGGAAAGAUUUAUGGCCAUUGGAUCAACCCGCGUCUGAUUAGCUAGUUGGUGAGGUAAAGGCUCACCAAGGCGACGAUCAGUAGCUGGUCUGAGAGGAUGAUCAGCCACACUGGGACUGAGACACGGCCCAGACUCCUACGGGAGGCAGCAGUGGGGAAGAUUGGACAAUGGGCGCAAGCCUGGUCCAGCCAUGCCGGGUGAGUGAUGAAGGCCUUAGGGUUGUAAAGCUCUUUCGCCGGUGAAGAUAAUGACGGUAACCGGAGAAGAAGCCCCGGCUAACUUCGUGCCAGCAGCCGCCGUAA
rnacentral:rRNA from 1 species